AGUGAACGCUGGCGGCGUGCCUAACACAUGCAAGUCGAGCGGAGCGGCGGACGGGUGAGUAAUGCCUAGGAAUCUGCCUGUUAGUGGGGGAUAACGUCCGGAAACGGGCGCUAAUACCGCAUACUAUCAGAUGAGCCUAGGUCGGAUUAGCUAGUUGGUGUGGUAAAGGCCUACCAUGGCGACGAUCCGUAACGGGUCUGAGAGGAUGAUCAGUCACACUGGAAUGGAGACACGGUCCAGACUCCUACGGGAGGCAGCAGUGGGGAAUAUGGGACAAUGGGCGAAAGCCUGAUGCAGCCAUGCCGCGUGUGUGAAGAAGGUCUUCGGAUUGUAAAGCACUUUAAGUUGGGAGGCGUUACCAACAGAAUAAGCACCGGCUAACUUCGUGCCAGCAGACGCGGUAAUUC
rnacentral:rRNA from 1 species